rnacentral:rRNA from 1 species
CAAGAAGACCCUAAGAAUUUUAGAAACAAAUAAUUUUUGUUAAUAAAAAAAUUAUUUGUUUUUUAGUUGGGGCAACUAAAAAAUAUUAUAAACUUUUUAAAAAUAAGAUGACCCAUUAUUAAUGAUAAUUUGAAAAAAAUACUCUAGGGAUAACAGCGUAAUAAUUUUUGAUAGAACAUAUAGACAAAAUAGUUUGCGACCUCGAUGUUGGAUUAGGAUACUUUUUUAAUGAAGAUGUUAAAAAAAGAAGUUUGUUCAACUUUUAAAUUCCUACUUGAUCUGAGUUCA